rnacentral:rRNA from 1 species
GAACAUGUCCGGAAGUGGGGGAUAACGUAGCGAAAGUUACGCUAAUACCACAUAUGCCCUGAGGGGGAAAGGGGGGGAUCGCAAGAUCUCUCGCUUUCGGAGUGGCCGAUAUCGGAUUAGCUAGAUGGUGAGGUAAAGGCUCACCAUGGCGACGAUCCGUAGCUGGUCUGAGAGGACGACCAGCCACACUGGAACUGAGACACGGUCCAGACUCCUACGGGAGGCAGCAGUGGGGAAUUUUGGACAAUGGGCGCAAGCCUGAUCCAGCCAUACCGCGUGAGUGAAGAAGGCCUUCGGGUUGUAAAGCUCUUUCAGCCGGAAAGAAAUCGUGCAGGUUAAUAACCUGUAUGGAUGACGGUACCGGAAGAAGAAGCACCGGCUAACUACGUGCCAGCAGCCGCGGUAAUACGUAGGGUGCGAGCGUUAAUCGGAAUUACUGGGCGUAAAGCGUGCGCAGGCGGUUUUGUAAGACAGACGUGAAAUCCCCGGGCUAACCUGGGAACUGCGUUUGUGACUGCAAGGCUAGAGUGCGGCAGAGGGGGGUAGAAUUCCACGUGUAGCAGUGAAAUGCGUAGAUAUGUGGAGGAAUACCGAUGGCGAAGGCAGCCCCCUGGGUCGACACUGACGCUCAUGCACGAAAGCGUGGGGAGCAAACAGGAUUAGAUACCCUGGUAGUCCACGCCCUAAACGAUGUCAACUAGGUGUUGGGGAAGGAGACUUCUUUAGUACCGCAGCUAACGCGAUAAGUUGACCGCCUGGGGAGUACGGUCGCAAGAUUAAAACUCAAAGGAAUUGACGGGGACCCGCACAAGCGGUGGAUUAUGUGGAUUAAUUCGAUGCAACGCGAAAAACCUUACCUACCCUUGACAUGUCAGAAAGAUCGUAGAGAUAUGAUUGUGCCCGAAAGGGAAUCUGAACACAGGUGCUGCAAGGCUGUCGUCAGCUCGUGUCGUGAGAUGUUGGGUUAAGUCCCGCAACGAGCGCAACCCUUGUCAUUAAUUGCCAUCAUUUAGUUGGGCACUUUAAUGAGACUGCCGGUGAUAAACCGGAGGAAGGUGGGGAUGACGUCAAGUCCUCAUGGCCCUUAUGGGUAGGGCUUCACACGUAAUACAAUGGUCGGUACGGAGGGUCGCCAACCCGCGAGGGGGAGCCAAUCUCAGAAAGCCGAUCGUAGUCCGGAUCGGAGUCUGCAACUCGACUCCGUGAAGUCGGAAUCGCUAGUAAUCGCGGAUCAGCAUGUCGCGGUGAAUACGUUCCCGGGUCUUGUACACACCGCCCGUCACACCAUGGGAGUGGGGUUCACCAGAAGCAGGUUGCCUAACCGC